rnacentral:lncRNA from 1 species
GGAGUGAAUAACUUGAAGCCUACAACAGCUAACUCGUUAGUCUAAAGCUACAGAGAAUCUUCCAGAGUCCAAAAGGCCAAACUUCCUGACUUAGUGCACUUUCUGUGACUUACAACAGAAGCCAGCACAGCAUCUAACACAUAGAGGGUGUGCCACAAAUAGUUACUGAAAAAAGAAAACAAGGAAUGAAGAAUUGAAUGAACAAAUACCAAAUGUGCUGCAUGAAUUUUGGAAGGACUGAUUUUCUAAGGCAGAAGAAGACUAAUAGUCCAUGUUGCAAAGAUCAACAGACCACAAUUGUGAUGACUCGAGCAAGCCAUAAGAUAACCCUUCUCAGAGCAGAGCGUGGAAAUGUUCUUGCAGCCCCCAUUACAUGUGCAAAAAGUAAUCAUAAGUAAUACAUCACCUUCCCACACAAAGGGUAAAGAGAUCCAUAUACACA